UACAGAGGUCUCAAGCGUUGUUCGGAUUCAUUGGGCGUAAAGGGUGCGUAGGCGGCGCGGUAAGUCGGGUGUGAAAUUUCGAGGCUUAACUUCGAAACUGCAUUCGAUACUGCCGUGCUUGAGGACUGGAGAGGAGACUGGAAUUUACGGUGUAGCGGUGAAAUGCGUAGAUAUCGGGAGGAACACCAGUGGCGAAGGCGACUUCCUGGCCUGUUCUUGACGCUGAGGCGCGAAAGCGUGGGGAGCGAACAGG
rnacentral:rRNA from 1 species